GAUGAACGCUGGCGGCGUGCCUAAUACAUGCAAGUCGAGCGAACAGACGAGGAGCUUGCUCCUCUGACGUUAGCGGCGGACGGGUGAGUAACACGUGGAUAACCUACCUAUAAGACUGGGAUAACUUCGGAAAACCGGAGCUAAUACCGGAUAAUAUAUUGAACCGCAUGGUUCAAUAGUGGAAGACGGUUUUGCUGUCACUUAUAGAUGGAUCCGCGCCGCAUUAGCUAGUUGGUAAGGUAACGGCUUACCAAGGCGACGAUGCGUAGCCGACCUGAGAGGGUGAUCGGCCACACUGGAACUGAGACACGGUCCAGACUCCUACGGGAGGCAGCAGUAGGGAAUCUUCCGCAAUGGGCGAAAGCUUGACGGAGCAACGCCGCGUGAGUGAUGAAGGUCUUCGGAUCGUAAAACUCUGUUAUUAGGGAAGAACAAAUGUGUAAGUAACUAUGCACGUCUUGACGGUACCUAAUCAGAAAGCCACGGCUAACUACGUG
rnacentral:rRNA from 1 species